GCCUAACACAUGCAAGUCGAACGGUAAGGCCCCUUCGAGGAGUCCGAGUGGCGAACGGGUGAGUAACACGUGAGCAACCUGCCCUUGACUCUGGAAUAACAGCUGGAAACAGCUGCUAAUACCGGAUACGACCUCCGUAGUCAUCUGCUGGAGGUGGAAAGCUCCGGCGGUCAAGGAUGGGCUCGCGGCCUAUCAGCUAGUUGGUGAGGUAACGGCUCACCAAGGCUUCGACGGGUAGCCGGCCUGAGAGGGCGACCGGCCACACUGGGACUGAGAUACGGCCCAGACUCCUACGGGAGGCAGCAGUGGGAAUAUUGCACAAUGGGCGAAAGCCUGAUGCAGCAACGCCGCGUGCGGGAUGACGGCCUUCGGGUUGUAAACCGCUUUCAGCUCCGACGAAGCGCAAGUGACGGUAGGAGCAGAAGAAGGACCGGCCAACUACGUGCCAGCAGCCGCGGUAAU
rnacentral:rRNA from 1 species